rnacentral:rRNA from 1 species
UACGGAGGGUGCAAGCGUUAUCCGGAUUCACUGGGUUUAAAGGGUGCGUAGGUGGGUUGGUAAGUCAGUGGUGAAAUCCCCGAGCUUAACUUGGGAACUGCCAUUGAUACUAUCAGUCUUGAAUACUGUGGAGGUCAGCGGAAUAUGUCAUGUAGCGGUGAAAUGCGUAGAUAUCUGGAGGAACACCGGUGGCGAAGGCGGCAUUCUGGACCGAAACUGACGCUGAGGCGCGAAAGCCAGGGGAGCAAACGGG